UCAAGUGAAUAAGCGUGCACGGUGGAUGCCUAGGCAGUCAGAGGCGAUGAAGGACGUGGUAACCUGCGAAAAGUUUUGGGGAGGUGGUAAACAACCUAUGAUCCAGAGAUAUCCGAAUGGGGAAACCCACCCAGUGUAAGCUGGGUACCCUAUACUGAAUACAUAGGUAUAGGGGGCGAACCGGGAGAACUGAAACAUCUAAGUACCCCGAGGAAAAGAAAUCAAUUGAGAUUCCCCAAGUAGCGGCGAGCGAACGGGGAUUAGCCCUUAAGUUUAUUAUGUUUUAGCGGAAGUAGCUGGAAAGUUACGCCAUAGUGGGUGAUAGCCCCGUACGCGAAAAGGCAUUUUAGAUGAAAACGAGUAGGUCGGGACACGAGAAAUCUUGACUGAACAUGGGGGGACCAUCCUCCAAGGCUAAAUACUCCUGACUGACCGAUAGUGAACCAGUACCGUGAGGGAAAGGCGAAAAGAACCCCGGAGAGGGGAGUGAAAUAGAACCUGAAACCUUGUGCUUACAAGCAGUCGGAGCCCACUUGUUGGGUGACGGCGUACCUUUUGUAUAAUGGGUCAGCGACUUAAUUUUAGUAGCAAGCUUAACCGAAUAGGGGAGGCGUAGGGAAACCGAGUCUUAAUAGGGCGUAUAGUUGCUAGGAUUAGACCCGAAACCGGGCGAUCUACCCAUGGCCAGGUUGAAGGUUGAGUAACAUCAACUGGAGGACCGAACCCACGUAUGUUGAAAAAUGCGGGGAUGAGCUGUGGGUCGGAGUGAAAGGCUAAUCAAGCCCGGAGAUAGCUGGUUCUCCUCGAAAGCUAUUUAGGUAGCGCCUCGUGUCUCACCAUUGGGGGUAGAGCACUGUUUCGGCUAGGGGGUCAUCCCGACUUACCAACCCGAUGCAAACUCCGAAUACCAAUGAGUGCAAUCACGGGAGACACACGGCGGGUGCUAACGUCCGUCGUGGAAAGGGAAACAACCCAGACCACCAGCUAAGGUCCCUAAUAUCAGUUAAGUGGGAAACGAUGUGGGAAGGCUCAGACAGCUAGGAGGUUGGCUUAGAAGCAGCCAUCCUUUAAAGAAAGCGUAAUAGCUCACUAGUCGAAUCGGCCUGCGCGGAAGAUAUAACGGGGCUCAAACUAUACACCGAAGCUACGGACGCAUGCUUGCAUGCGUGGUAGAGGAGCGUUCUGUAGGCCGUUGAAGGGAAAGCUGAGAGGCAUCCUGGAGGUAUCAGAAGUGCGAAUGCUGACAUGAGUAACGAUAAGGGGAGUGAAAAGCUCCCCCGCCGGAAGACCAAGGUUUCCUAUCCAAUGCUAAUCAGGGUAGGGUGAGUCGGCCCCUAAGGCGAGGCUGAAGAGCGUAGUCGAUGGGAAGCAGGUUAAUAUUCCUGCACCACUCAAUAUUGCGAAGGAGGGACGGAGAAGGCUAGUCCAGCGCGGCGUUGGUUGUCCGCGUUUAAGCGUGUAGGCUUAAAUCUUAGGUAAAUCCGGGAUUUUUUAAGGCUGAGGCGUGAUGACGAGGUCCAUUAGGACUGAAGUGGUUGAUGCCAUGCUUCCAGGAAAAGCUUCUAAGCAUCAGAUAUUGAGUGACCGUACCCCAAACCGACACAGGUGGUCAGGUAGAGAAUACCAAGGCGCUUGAGAGAACUCGGGUGAAGGAACUAGGCAAAAUGGUACCGUAACUUCGGGAGAAGGUACGCCGCUGAUGGUGAUGGGACUUGCUCCCUAAGCUGUUGGCGGCCGAAGAUACCAGGUGGCUGCGACUGUUUAUUAAAAACACAGCACUGUGCAAACACGAAAGUGGACGUAUACGGUGUGACGCCUGCCCGGUGCCGGAAGGUUAAUUGAUGGGGUUAGCUUCGGCGAAGCUCUUGAUCGAAGCCCCGGUAAACGGCGGCCGUAACUAUAACGGUCCUAAGGUAGCGAAAUUCCUUGUCGGGU
rnacentral:rRNA from 1 species